rnacentral:rRNA from 1 species
GACGAACGCUGGCGGCGUGCUUAACACAUGCAAGUCGAACGGUGAAGCGCCUUCCUUUUUGGUGGGUGUGGAUGAGUGGCGAACGGGUGAGUAACACGUGAGUAACCUGCCCCCUUCUUCUGGAUAACCGCAUGAAAGUGUGGCUAAUACGGGAUAUUCUGGGUCUGUCGCAUGAUGGGUCUGGGAAAGAUAUUGUUUCGGUGGGGGAUGGGCUCGCGGCCUAUCAGCUUGUUGGUGGGGUGAUGGCCUACCAAGGCGGUGACGGGUAGCCGGCCUGAGAGGGUGGACGGUCACACUGGGACUGAGACACGGCCCAGACUCCGACGGGAGGCAGCAGUGGGGAAUAUUGCACAAUGGGAGCAAGCCUGAUGCAGCGACGCCGCGGGAGGGAUGGAGGUCUUCGGGUUGUGAACCUCUUUCGCCAGUGAAGCAGGCCUGCCUAGUUUGUGGGUGGGUUGACGGUAGCUGGAUAAGAAGCGCCGGCUAACUACGUG